UACGGGGGGGGCAAGCGUUGUUCGGAAUUACUGGGCGUAAAGGGCUCGUAGGUGGCCAACUAAGUCAGACGUGAAAUCCCUCGGCUUAACCGGGGAACUGCAUCUGAUACUGGAUGGCUUGAGUUCGGGAGAGGGAUGCGGAAUUCCAGGUGUAGCGGUGAAAUGCGUAGAUAUCUGGAGGAACACCGGUGGCGAAGGCGGCAUCCUGGGCCGACACUGACGCUGAGGAGCGAAAGCCAGGGGAGCAAACGGG
rnacentral:rRNA from 1 species